rnacentral:rRNA from 1 species
GUAGGGAAUCUUCCACAAUGGACGAAAGUCUGAUGGAGCAACGCCGCGUGAGUGAAGAAGGUUUUCGGAUCGUAAAGCUCUGUUGUUGGUGAAGAAGGAUAGAGGCAGUAACUGGUCUUUAUUUGACGGUAAUCAACCAGAAAGUCACGGCUAACUACGUGCCAGCAGCCGCGGUAAUACGUAGGUGGCAAGCGUUGUCCGGAUUUAUUGGGCGUAAAGCGAGCGCAGGCGGAAUGAUAAGUCUGAUGUGAAAGCCCACGGCUCAACCGUGGAACUGCAUCGGAAACUGUCAUUCUUGAGUGCAGAAGAGGAGAGUGGAACUCCAUGUGUAGCGGUGGAAUGCGUAGAUAUAUGGAAGAACACCAGUGGCGAAGGCGGCUCUCUGGUCUGCAACUGACGCUGAGGCUCGAAAGCAUGGGCAGCGAACAGGAUUAGAUACCCUGGUAGUCCAUGCCGUAAAACGAUGAGCGCUAGGUGUUGGGGACUUUCCGGUCCUCAGUGCCGCAGCAAACGCAUUAAGCGCUCCGCCU